GGGGGCAUAGCUCAGUUGGGAGAGCAGUAGACUGAAGCGUUCUGAUGAAAGUGUUCUAAAGGUCCUGUGUUCAAUCCACGGUGCCCCCA